GCAGUGGAAGCAUGGCAUCACCAGAGAAAUGGAAACACAUGGUGCGACUACAUUUCGCACAGCCGUGAAGUCGAAGCUUACCUCAGGUACGCCAAUGUACAACCAUGUGUAUGUAUCUGUAAACAUGUGAGUCAAUCGAACCUUGCAAUGGUUUGCGGGAAGAUGUGUGCGAUAUGUGACCUGAUGCCCAGCGUGUAUAAUGGAACGAGUAUUUGUAAAUGAACGCAAAAUGGAAGUUCAGAGCCCGUCUGGUCGUGUGUUUAUUCGAGAAACCUGUGAGAGAAAUGCUGCCCGCCUAAGGAAGAGAUCCAUCUUAAGACCAUCGCGCAAAGAGCCACUUAGGGCUUUCACCUUAAAAAGAACCAGAAAGCUGACCUUCGUGCAUAGCGUUCGCCGCCAGCGUUUCCCAGUAAACAUUACGGUUACAUAAGCUGCAGUUGCUGGGAAGGGUGAGUGAAAGUCAGGGAUGCUAUCGCGUUCCACUCUUAAAAGGUGAAGCUUAAGCAUCCUCCAAGUUUUUUCUUUACUUUUUGCGCUUAUCGAACGGCU